AAGAGAUGCAUGAUGCUCUUUUAACUGGCUCUGUGCUUUUAAAGGCGUUACAAUAAUACCAUGUUGCUGAGGCUGUCUCGGGGAGGGCUUCCUAACUAUGCAUGCAGAUAAAAUGGCCUAGCAUACAUUUAGGUUUUCAUGGCCAAGUGGAGGAGAGCAUGAUGUGAGUAUUUUGAAGGUUUCCCACACACUGCUGGUGAUGAAUUGAUUUCCAACUUCCCAGAGAGCAAAACCCACAUGUAACAGGUACGAUAAAUCACCCAUGGCCUUUGACAUCACAUGUUAGUCAGUUGUUGCUACAGAACAAACGACCCCAAAGAGUCGAGAAAUAACACAUAUUUAUCACCACUCUCUGGGUCCCCAGCCCGGCUGAACAGUUCUUCUAGCUGCAGGUCUUUUGAUC
rnacentral:lncRNA from 1 species